UCCACCAUUGGAUCUCACAUCCUUACCUCUUUAAAAUUAGUACCAAGCAUUAACCAGAUAUUUGGUGGGCAUAUUUAUAUAAUAGGAGAUAUAAGACGAAACAAAUAAAGUAAAAUAAAUAUUUUGGGAGUUAACCAAAAAGAAUAGGAAAAUUCAAUUCUCUAUCCUAAGUUUUGAAAAGUUUUACAAGAAAAGAAAAUAGAAAGAUUCAUUUUUCUAUUUUCUAGAUUUUU
rnacentral:lncRNA from 1 species